UCCUUUAACGAGGAACAACUGGAGGGCAAGUCUGGUGCCAGCAGCCGCGGUAACUCCAGCUCCAGAAGCGUAUAUUAAAGUUGUUGCAGUUAAAAAGCUCGUAGUUGGAUCUGGGUCGCAUGGCUACGUGCCGUAGCUUGUAUUCCCGUCUUGGCUACGGUUGGGUCGGGUUUGUGAGUCGGUUUCGUGGCUGUGUAGCCUUUCUGCCGUGUCUGUUUCGACAGGUGCUGAUGGUUAUUCCGUUGGCAUGCUUCCGGAUGCCUUUAACCGGGUGUCGGGGGCGGACGGCACGUUUACUUUGAACAAAUUUGAGUGCUCAAAGCAGGCCUAUGCCUGAAAAUUCUUGCAUGGAAUAAUGGAAUAGGACUUCGGUUCUAUUUUGUUGGUUUUCGGAUCCGAAGUAAUGGUUAAGAGGGACAGACGGGGGCAUUUGUAUGGCGGUGUUAGAGGUGAA
rnacentral:rRNA from 1 species